rnacentral:rRNA from 1 species
AUUGAACGCUGGCGGCAUGCCUUACACAUGCAAGUCGAACGGUAACGGGCCUUCGGGUGCCGACGAGUGGCGAACGGGUGAGUAAUACAUCGGAACGUGCCCGAUCGUGGGGGAUAACGAGGCGAAAGCUUUGCUAAUACCGCAUACGAUCUACGGAUGAAAGCAGGGGACCGCAAGGCCUUGCGCGGACGGAGCGGCCGAUGGCAGAUUAGGUAGUUGGUGGGAUAAAAGCUUACCAAGCCGACGAUCUGUAGCUGGUCUGAGAGGAUGAUCAGCCACACUGGGACUGAGACACGGCCCAGACUCCUACGGGAGGCCGCAGUGGGGAAUUUUGGACAAUGGGCGCAAGCCUGAUCCAGCCAUGCCGCGUGCAGGAUGAAGGCCUUCGGGUUGUAAACUGCUUUUGUACGGAACGAAAAGCCUUCUUUUAAUACAGGAGGGUCAUGACGGUACCGUAAGAAUAAGCACCGGCUAACUACGUG